rnacentral:rRNA from 1 species
GAUGAACGCUGGCGGCGUGCUUAACACAUGCAAGUCGAACGAAGAUGCCGGAGUGCUUGCACUUUGGCAGACUGAGUGGCGGACGGGUGAGUAACGCGUGGGUAACCUGCCUUAUACAGGGGGAUAACAGUUGGAAACGACUGCUAAUACCGCAUAAGCCCACGGCUCGGCAUCGAGCAGAGGGAAAAGGAGCAAUCCGCUUUGAGAUGGCCUCGCGUCCGAUUAGCUAGUUGGUGAGGUAACGGCCCACCAAGGCGACGAUCGGUAGCCGGACUGAGAGGUUGAACGGCCACAUUGGGACUGAGACACGGCCCAGACUCCUACGGGAGGCAGCAGUGGGGAAUAUUGCACAAUGGGCGAAAGCCUGAUGCAGCGACGCCGCGUGAGUGAAGAAGUAUCUCGGUAUGUAAAGCUCUAUCAGCAGGGAAGAAAAUGACGGUACCUGACUAAGAAGCCCGGCUAACUACGUGCCAGCAGCCG